GGAGACUGUGCCUGGAGUGAUGAAGGAAGAAUAACGGAACCAGCGCGGCUGAAAAGAGGACAGAGAUAAGGAAGCUGAGAUGUAGAGCUGAAGUGUCUUGCCCAAGAUCAUUUGUCUAUAAUUUGUUUUUAUUGUAUUCCUAAGCCUAUGACCUGGCUCAACCCAGCUACAAGUUGUUAAUAAGAGGGAAGCAUAUCAGGAAAAUCUGAGUGCAAUGGUUUAGGAAUUGGGAAAGUAUAAAAGGUAUAGCACAACAGCACUAGACAACUGAGGUAGUCACCUACCUAAGGAGAGAUGCCAAGGACAAGUUGGCCAGCUAAACACUUUCUCCAGAAAUGGGAUUUAUAGGUUCUUCCUUAUGCCAGUCCACCAAGAAUACCUGCUUAAAGGCCAGUUUUGCUAAUUUCUUUAAUAUCAGAAGACAGCUGGAUUCUCAUUUCUGCUUCUGCAUUCAGUCUAUUGUGAUAUAGCAUAUCAUGUAACUUCUGAAAAACUUCACUGUACACAGAUGCUGACCUCACAGACUCCCUGAAAGGAUCUCCAUGACCUCUAUGGUUCCUUAGACUGCACUUUGAGAACUAUUGACGUACAGGGAAAAAUGCUCUUGGUGUUCCAGUUAAGCACAGAAUAAAAUCUGGACUGUGUCAGUUUGUAAAGAUCUUAUGUCUACUUGGUCAUCAGCCAAGAAGGGAUUCCGAAGAUAGAAGAGGAGGCAUCAACACCGUGAACAUCAUGGCUGAGUUAUUUUGUGAGAGGGAUAAGCCUAAAGUAAAAACCUUGGAUUUGCCUCUGUCCUUGAACAUGCUAUCUGGAAAGAGUUUUCUUAAAAGUAUUGUUGUGAACACAUCCAUUUUCCCAGUAUAGUUGAAUGCAGGGUUUAAUAAAUGGAAUGAAUCU
ensembl:lncRNA novel transcript